CCUACGGGAGACAGCAGUGAGGAAUAUUGGUCAAUGGACGAGAGUCUGAACCAGCCAAGUAGCGUGAAGGAUGAAUGUCCCAUGGGUUGUAAACUUCUUUUAUAAAGGAAUAAAACGAGGCACGUGUGCCUUUUUGCAUGUACUUUAUGAAUAAGGAUCGGCUAACUCCGUGCCAGCAGCCGCGGUAAUACGGAGGAUCCGAGCGUUAUCCGGAUUUAUUGGGUUUAAAGGGAGCGUAGAUGGGUUGUUAAGUCAGUUGUGAAAGUUUGCGGCUCAACCGUAAAAUUGCAAUUGAAACUGGCAGUCUUGAGUACAGUAGAGGUAAGCGGAAUGCGUAGUGUAGCGGUGAAAUGCUUAGAUAUCGCGAAGAACCCCGAUUGCGAAGGCAGCAUACU
rnacentral:rRNA from 1 species